CCCAUGUGGAUGCCCCCGGGAGGUCAUUCUCCCCUGGCUCUGUCUGGGUGACAGAAGGCAGCACAGGGCUCUGGCCCUCGAUGAACCGUCCAUUUCCACAACACUGGAGAGAAAGCGGGACCUUGUGUCCGCACCUGCACAUUCCUGCACCUGCUCAGAGUCCUGUGGAUAGUGACGGAGGAGACAAACCGUGUAGGAAACAUCA